rnacentral:rRNA from 1 species
GACGAACGCUGGCGGCGUGCUUAACACAUGCAAGUCGAACGGUGAAGCGCCUUCCUUUUUGGUGGGUGUGGAUGAGUGGCGAACGGGUUAGUAACACUUGAGUAACCUUCCCCCUUCUUCUGGAUAACCGCAUGAAAGUGUGGCUAAUACGGGAUAUUCUGGGUCUGUCGCAUGAUUGGUCUUUGUCAGAUUUUGUUUCGGUUUGUGAUGGGAUCGCGGCCUUUCAGCUUGUUGGUGGGGUGAUUGCCUACCAAGGCGGUGACGGGUAGCCGGCCUGGGAGGGUGGACGGUAACACAGGGAGUGAGAGACGGCCAAGACUCCUACGGGAGGCAGCAGGGGGGAAUAUUGAACAAUGGGAGAAAGACUGAUGCAGCGACGCCGCGGGAGGGAUGGAGGCCUGCGGGUUGUGAACCUCUUUCGCCAGUGAAGCAGGCCUGACUCGUUUGUGGGUGGGUUGACGGUAGCUGGAUAAGAAGCGCCGGCUAACUACGUG